GAUGGACGCUGGCGGCGUGCCUAAUACAUGCAAGUCGAGCGAACAGACGAGGCUCUUGCUCCUCUGACGUUAGCGGCGGACGGGUGAGUAACACGUGGAUAACCUACCUAUAAGACUGGGAUAACUUCGGGAAACCGGAGCUAAUACCGGAUAAUCUCUUGAACCGCAUGGUUCAAUAGUGAAAUACGGUUUUGCUGUCACUUAUAGAUGGAUCCGCGCCGCAUUAGCUAGUUGGUACGUUAACGGCUUACCAAGGCGACGAUGCGUAGCCGACCUGAGAGGGUGAACGGCCACACUGGAACUGAGACACGGUCCAGAGUCCUACGGGAGGCAGAAGUAGGGAAUGUACCGCAAUGGGCGAAAGAUUGAAGGAGCAACGCCGCGCGAGUGAUGAAGGUCUUCGGAUCGUAAAACUCUGUUAUUAGGGAAGACCAAAUGUGUAAGUAACUAUGCACGUGUUGACGGUACCUAUAAAGAAAGCCACGGCUAACUACGU
rnacentral:rRNA from 1 species